AACGAACGCUGGCGGCAUGCCUAACACAUGCAAGUCGAACGAGACCUUCGGGUCUAGUGGCGCACGGGUGCGUAACGCGUGGGAACCUGCCCUUAGGUUCGGAAUAACUCCCCGAAAGGGGUGCUAAUACCGGAUAAUGUCUUCGGACCAAAGAUUUAUCGCCUUUGGAUGGGCCCGCGUUGGAUUAGCUGGUUGGGAGGGUAAAAGCCUACCAAGGCGACGAUCCAUAGCUGGUCUGAGAGGAUGAUCAGCCACACUGGGACUGAGACACGGCCCAGACUCCUACGGGAAGCAGCAGUGGGGAAUAUUGGACAAUGGGCGAAAGCAUGAUCCAGCAAUGCCGCGUGAGUGAUGAAGGCCUUAGGGUUGUAAAGCUCUUUUACCCGGGAUGAUAAUGACAGUACCGGGAGAAUAAGCUCCGGCUAACUCCGUG
rnacentral:rRNA from 1 species